ACUACAACCAGAGAUGGUUCAACACUUGAAGGUACAGCUUGCCGGGAUGGAACCCCUCUUCCACGAGACCUUUCUUAGCAUCCUCUAAAUUUAUUUGCCUGCAUACUUCCAACCGUAGUGAUAUGUGCAUAUUUGUGAUGAUGAGGUGUUGCUUUUGGGUUGAUCUGUUGGUCAUGUGCAUAUCUAUGAUGAUGAAGUAAGUGCUUCUUUGUGUUAAUCAGUAGGUCAUGUGUGUGAUGACGAAAUGAUAUGUAGGUUUGGUUUGAACUUGCUGGAAAAAAAAUGUUGGCUUUUGGGUACAAAUUAUGCUACUGAUCUUAUUGUUGGCUUUAGUACGUGGUGACCAACCUUGUGGAUUUAGUUGUAAUUAUGAUGGGAUUGUUUUGUUGCAAUUAUUCUAUGACAUUAACUACUUUGAUGUUGGAUUAUGACGAACGCACAUUGCAAUUUAACAGGCAGCCAAAACCAUUGUUGUAAAACGGAAGUGCAGUUUUCUCUCUAAAGAUGUUGUUAAUAGACUUGUGAACAUGUGUGCUCCCUUCUGAAUUUUUCUCUUUAAUACAACACAUAGAAUACAAUGACAAAACUAGGUCUCGCUGAUAUUCUUAAACAAGAACACAUAUGUAAAUUUUGAAGCACUAGAGAACACAUAGGGAUCACAUAGGCAUCACACUAGUAGCAAACACCUUUGUACAUGCAACAUAGUAGUAGCAAACACAUUUGUACAUGCAACGCACUAGCAGGAAACAUCUUUGUUCCUACAGAACACAAUAUCAGCAAACACCUUUGUACAUGCAGCACUGCAUUUAGCAAAAUGUCGAGUUCUAAACACUAAGAAACUAGGCAUUUAGGGACUCCAUCACACUCUUAUAUAUUUAACGGUCACAAUUUAGGCUCUUUGGAAGCAUGCCUAGGGCCUCCAGCCUAUCGUUGUUAAUGUGAGGGAUCUUGUAUUUGUUCCCUCCAUUGGCCUUCAUCACCUCAAUCAUGCAACCGUGCAGUGUUAGGAAGACAUUUCUAAUUGCUUUGUGGUUAUAGUUUUCAUAUUCAUUCUUAACAUUGGCAAUUAAGUCAUUCAUAUUGUUAGAGAUCAUUGUGUAUGUUAAUGACUGUAGAGAUGCAAAGAACCCCAGAUCUAAGACAUUCGUAUCAGGGGAGUUAGGGGGCUGGUUCAUGAGGUAGAUAUUGAGCCCAAUGUAGGCUACUGCUCGUGCAAAUUGCUCAUCAUUAACCGGGAUACGAGUCCUAGCAUUGUCCUGCUGAAUCCAAAUAGUUUGGUGGCAUUGAUCUCGAGACCAACGAUCUCUAAUUGCUGGCAGGAGUUUAGUAAUCAUAUAGGACCUUAUUGUGGCUCUAUCAACCUUCAUUGUCUUGUUCACUGGUGUCCCCUUGGUCUGUUACCACUUCUUCUUUUUGUUGGUUCCUACAAAAAUUGACAAACAUGUUAGCUUCGAAAGCAAACCAUAGAAACUAAUUGAAGCAAAAAAAAGCACAUAAAUUCAGGUACCUCUCUUAUAAAAGGCCAUAUGCCUAGUUUGCCAUCAAAUGUGCAGUUCCCUUCAUUAUCAUACUGAGGAUUGGCUACUACACAGAAGAACAUUACCUUUUCAAUGUAAUUCUUGUUUUGCACAGUCCUAUGUGGGUCCUCUUCAUCAUGAGUCAUGCAGUAGGUCACAUCUUUUCUUAUGCCGUUGAACCACUUCUCAUCUUGGUGUAUGAUGUUCUUCAUUUCAUUGAACUUUGGCUGAGUUUGCAAUGUACGCUGAUCUAACAUUAAAACACACCACCGCAGCCUUUCCUUUUUAUUUUCUUCCUUUAAAUAUGGCUUCAAUGUUUUGGAGUGCCGUCUUAGGAACCCAUCUUUGAACAUCUUAUGUACUGUGGUUUUUUUCAUACCUAGAGCUUGAGCUAGAGACCUUAUGGUCCACCUUCUGUGCAAUGGAAUGGUCUCUACUUGUGAGGUGUUGAUUUCAACCUUUUUGCGGCCACAAUUCUUGGGCUUUCUUGAACUAAUAUCAACCGACACUCCAUUAGCACGACAUUGUUUUUCUUGUCACCAAAUAUGCCACACUGCAUGUCGAUUGACAUUAAAUAAUUUAGCAACCUCAGUUGUAGUGUUUCUCUUUAGUUUUCCUUGGUUGCUUUUCUCCAGCAAUGCUUCAUAUAUCUGUUGCCUUUGAGUUGUAGAAUGAUCCUUUGAUGUUGUCCUAAAAUUUUCAUUUGCUGGUUCAUAAUCUUUAUCACUGGAGUCAGAUAACUCUUCCUGAUCAAAGACGAUGUCCACCUCAUUGGCAUAGACGCCAUACCCAUGCAUUUCCUCCAUGGUUGGGAUGUAGUCAUCAUUAACUAAAAAAAAUGUGCUAAUUGUGUUCAUCUAGAACUAAACAAAUGCACAUCCAUUUAUUGUUUGAUGGAUUAGUUUAACUUGUUUUUAAUCAUCGUAAUCUACAUUUGUGGAAUGUGAAAUUUAUUAAGAACUGAUAGCUAAAUGUACAUUACUCGUAUAUUUUGCAGGAACUUCUCUACUGGACAUGGUACUAAAUGCAGUGUGGGCACUGGAUGGAGGUACUGUGUACGUAAUUCUUCAUCAUAAAGUCUCUACUGAACAUGCUAAUAAAUGCAGUAAUAUUGUGUAUGUUCAUGGUGGUAAGAGAAGAACCACAUUGACCCACUAAUUCAUCAAGAAAUAAACCUUGAAUAUGAGAUAAAUUAUGUCUAGUACAAUCUGAUUAUGUGCUAUAGCUUUCAAUACAAUGUCAUAUAGUCCUUUGAUUAAGUAACUCUACAUUGAAUUUAUUCCUGAGCAUGC
rnacentral:lncRNA from 1 species